rnacentral:rRNA from 1 species
CAUGCGAGUCCAGAGCUUUCGGAGCUCGGCGUACCGCUCAGUAACACGUGGGUAACUAACCUAUGCAGGGGAAUAACCUCGGGAAACUGAGUAUAAUGCCCCAUAGUCCACUACGCCUGGAACGGUGAGUGGAUCAAAGCUCAGGCGGCAUAGGAUGGGCCUGCGGCGUAUCAGGUUGUAGGGGGUGUAAAGUACCCUCUAGCCAUCUACGCGUACGGGUGUUGGGAGACAUAGCCCGGAGAUGGAUUCUGAGACACGAAUCCAGACCCUACGGGGUGCAGCAGGCGCGAAAACUUGACAAUGCGAGCAAUCGUGAUCAGGGAACUCCAAGUGGCUGGGGUAAGACCUGAGUCUUUUCAUAACUCUUCAAAGGCUGUAGAAUAAGGGGUGGGUAAGGACGGUUCCAGCCGCCGCGGUAAUACCGGCGCCUCAAGUGGUAGUCGCUUUUAUUGGGCCUAAAACGUCCGUAGCCGGUUUGGUACAUUCGUGGGUAAAUCAACUCGCUCAACGAGUUGAAUUCUGCGAGGACGGCCAGACUUGGGACCGGGAGAGGUGUGGGGUACUCUCAGGGUAGGGGUAAAAUCCUGUCAUCCUGAGAGAACCACCUGUUGCGAAGGCGCCACACUAGAACGGAUCCGACGGUCAGGGACGAGCCUAGGGCACGAACCGGAUUAGAUACCCGGGUAGUCCUAGGUGUAACGCUGUGACUGAUGUGAGAGCUCGAGCUCUCAGUGUCGAACGAGUGAUAGUCACUGCUGAGUACGUCGCAAGGCUGAACUCAAAGA